AUUGAACGCUGGCGGCAGGCCUAACACAUGCAAGUCGAGCGGAGCGGCGGACGGGUGAGUAAUGCCUGGGAAUCUGCCUGGUAGUGGGGGAUAACGUACGGAAACGGGCGAUAAUACCGCAUACGAUCAGAUGAGCCUAGGUCGGAUUGGCUAGUUGGUGGGGUAAAGGCCUACCAAGGCGACGAACCGUAACUGGUCUGAGAGGAUGAUCAGUCACACUGGAACUGAGAGACGGUCCAGAGUCCUACGGGAGGCAGGAGGGGGGAAUAUUGGACAAGGGGCGAAAGCCUGAUACAGACAUUCCGCGUGUGGGAUGACGGCCUUCGGGUUGUAAACCGCUUUCAGCCAUGACGCGGUAGUGGCAGAAGAAGCACCGGCUAACUACGUGCCAGCAGCCGCGGUAAUUC
rnacentral:rRNA from 1 species